rnacentral:rRNA from 1 species
AGAAUCAACGCUGGCGGCGUGCCUAACACAUGCAAGUCGAACGCGAAAGUCCCGAAAGGGAUAAGUAGAGUGGCAAACGGGUGAGUAACACGUGGGUGACCUGCCUUCGAGCGGGGGAUAACGUCCCGAAAGGGACGCUAAUACCGCAUAACAUCCUGCCUUUUAAGAGGUGGAGAUCAAAGCCGGGGACCGUAAGGCCUGGCACUUGAAGAGGGGCCCGCGUCUGAUUAGCUAGUUGGUGGGGUAAUGGCCUACCAAGGCAACGAUCAGUA